rnacentral:rRNA from 1 species
AUUGAACGCUGGCGGCAGGCCUAACACAUGCAAGUCGAGCGGAUGAAGGGAGCUUGCUCCUGGAUUCAGCGGCGGACGGGUGAGUAAUGCCUAGGAAUCUGCCGGGUAGUGGGGGAUAACGUCCGGAAACGGGCGCUAAUACCGCAUACGUCCUGAGUGAGAAAGUGGGGGAUCUUCGGACCUCUCGCUAUCAGAUGAUCCUAGGUCGGAUUAGCUAGUUGGUGGGGUAAAGGCCUACCAAGGCGACGAUCCGUAACUGGUCUGAGAGGAUGAGCAGUCACACUGGAACUGAGACACGGUCCAGACUCCUACGGGAGGCAGCAGUGGGGAAUAUUGGACAAUGGGCGAAAGCCUGAUCCAGCCAUGCCGCGUGUGUGAAGAAGGUCUUCGGAUUGUAAAGCACUUUAAGUUGGGAGGAAGGGCUGUAAGUUAAUACCUUGCUGUUUUGACGUUACCAACAGAAUAAGCACCGGCUAACUUCGUG